AUUGAACGCUGGCGGCAGGCCUAACACAUGCAAGUCGAACGAGUGGCGGACGGGUGAGUAAUGUCUGGGAAACUGCCCGAUGGAGGGGGAUAACUACUGGAAACGGUAGCUAAUACCGCAUACCAUCGGAUGUGCCCAGAUGGGAUUAGCUUGUAGGUGAGGUAACGGCUCACCUAGGCGACGAUCCCUAGCUGGGCUGAGAGGAUGACCAGCCACUCUGGAACUGAGACACGGUCGAGGUUCCUAGGGGAGGCAGCAGUGGGAAAUAUUGCACAAGGGGCGCAAGCCUUAUGCAGCCAUGCCGCGUGUAUGAAGAAGUCCUUGGGCUUGUAAAGUACUUUCAGCGGGGAGGCGUUACCCGCAGAAGAAGCACCGGCUAACUCCGUGCCAGCAGCCGCGGUAAUU
rnacentral:rRNA from 1 species